CAAAAGUUGUGCACGCCUGAGCGCGUCCUCUCACAUAACAUCCAUCUCACCCUUUUGUGCACCACCGCGUGGGCACCCUUUGGGAUCGAACCGAUCCGGGAGGGGGCUUGCGUUUUCACACAAACCCCUUUUAAAAAAAGUGUAGAAUGUCCCCAUUUUGCGAUGACACGCAAUCAAUACAACUUUCAACAACGGAUCUCUUGGCUCUCGCAUCGAUGAAGAACGCAGCGAAAUGCGAUACGUAAUGUGAAUUGCAGAAUUCAGUGAAUCAUCGAAUCUUUGAACGCACCUUGCGCCCCUUGGUAUUCCGAGGGGCACACCCGUUUGAGUGUCGUGAAAAUCUCAACCUUCUCGGUUUUCUUCUGGACACUGAAGGAGGCUUGGACUUUGGAGGCCUUUGCUGGCAUCUCUCUCUUUUUGAGAGCCAGCUCCUCUUAAAUGAAUUAGCGGGGUCCUCUUUGCCGAUCCUCGACAUGUGAUAAGAUGUUUCCAUGACUUGGUUUCUGGCUCUGUUGCCUUUGGGACCUGCUUCUAACCGUCUCAAACGAGACAACGGUUUGGGUGUGUCUCCCUCCUCGGGGAAACACUCUCAACCCC
rnacentral:rRNA from 1 species